rnacentral:lncRNA from 1 species
AUUCGUAUAAAUUAUUAUUAAGUGUCUAUAGGGUACAUGAUGUUGUUUCGUUUAUGCUUUAUUUAAUUACACUUUGAUAUGAAACACAAUUGUGUUACAUAUUAUGCAUUUCCUCAAAAAUAGAACGAAGGUUCAAUAAAGUACGGUCGUUUUUCUUCCUGUAGGUUAUCCUAAAUAGUUCAUUGUUAGGUUUCCGGUUACCAUCACCACACAUCUAAGUUUAUAAAGUUCUAUAAG